rnacentral:lncRNA from 1 species
GGAGUUAUAAUAGGUUUGAUAAGCAGAGAUGGUUCGCUCGGUCAUGUUUAGUGAUCGAGUGCUGGUCUCGGCUUGUUCAGAAAAUGGGUCGUGACAAAGUUAAUCAACGAGAAUUAUGGAGGAAUAAUGAUGUAAAAUCUUGUUCUUUGACCCAUUGCAUUGACCUCUAGUUAGGUUUGUAUUGCACCGUACUUUACUAUCUCCACAAGCACCAAUAACAAUAGUCUGCCUAUAGAGCAUUCAGAAUAAUAAAUUGAAAAACUAUCCCUUUAUCUAGACAUUGCCCGGACAACAUAGAUGGUCCUUUUAAUACCAAGGGCUUACCCAUUUCCAGGAAAAUCAAAGCGAAAUACACUGAUUCCUUCUUUCUCCAUAGCAACAGCA